AGUGAACCUGAUCCUGACUGUUGGAGUCAUCACCAGAUAGCAGACGUUUCCAGAGCAUUCUGAGAAAAGUAUAAAAGGAAGGCGCCGCAUUCUUCUCUGAUUCUGUCACCCACGUCUUCAGAUGAGCAUCAUCCUAGCUGGAAACAGCCAGAGGCUCACUUACCAUGCCCCGGACAGCCGCUGGGCCCGUCCCCUCUUCAUCUUCCCCAUCUGCCUCCUGGUCUUCGUUGUCAGUCCAGGAGGACACGUCCUCCGCUGAGCUAGUCAGGUCAGCUCUCGAUGCCAUUUUCAACCUCGAGGAAUGUGAAGAACAGCCACUUUAGGGCAACACCUUAGGCCUGGAACAAUCACUUUACACCAGUAAUUGUGAAGACUGAACUGUUUGUCUCUGAGGAAAUGAAGUCACUGGGCAAAAGGUCAGAAACUCUCCGAUUCUUCACACCCCAGGUAUGAAGACAAAAAACAAAGCCUCUGACUGUCCUAUUCUGGUUGGAUAAAGAGGAGGAACAGUUGGAUGCCAGGAGGAGACUGAAGAUAGAUGCUCCUCUUCCUUCCUUCCGACAGCUGGGGUCAAGGUUAAGCAGCAGCAGGCUGGGCAGCUGACAGCCUGAGUGUAAACAGGACACAUGGCAUGGACUGAAAGGUGUUCCCUUCUGAGGUCUGCGUCAGGUGCCCAGGAGCCCAUGGACUGAGAAUUGGUUGCUGAAAGUUGCUCAGCUCUACAGACUCCAGCACAUGCCCUGCAAAAGGCAAAGCCUCUGGGAGGAGCACGCUGUCCUUUUCUGACACCAUGCUGUUAUUCUUUUAUCUUCUGUACCUCUAGGGCAGCUGGGUAUAUGGAAGCAGCAGAAAUUUCACAAUCCACCGGACUUGGCAGAAAACCUGCUUUUGUCUACUGCCGUGGGCCUUGGGGGGAAGUUAAAUAACUGCUGGGAUUUAAAUGGAAACCUUUGAAUAAAGAGAACACAUAUCUUCCCUCAA